rnacentral:lncRNA from 1 species
AUGAUUCUUAAGAGCAUCAAAUCCUUGUUUAGAGCAUCAAAUCUUUCUUCAGAGCAUCAAACCCUUCUUUAUAGCAUCAAACCCUUCUUUAUAGCAUCAAAUUCCUUCUUUAGAGCAUCAAAUUCCUUCUUUAGAGCAUCAAAAUCAAUCUUCAGAGCAUCAGCCCCUCUUGCUGAGCUUGCCAGGGCCCGGCCCCUGCCCGGUGUCGCUGUCCCUGGGCUGUCUGAGGGCCUGGAUGUGCUGACAGGGUGGUGCUGCCUCACUGAUCCCUGGGAUCUUUGCAGAUUAAAUGAUUCUGGGAUUGUUCUGGUUUGUGACAUCCCACCUGCAGCACUGAUCACACAAGGAUUCCACGUCCAUUUUGCUGGAAAGAAAUCUGUCCCAAAAAUAAAUCUGGUGGCCUCCAACACCAUGACACUUUGCUCAGCCUCUCACACUGUGGGCUGUCAUUGCAGGGAGCAGCAAAAUCCUCUUUUCCACCAGGAAAAACCCCAGAUUCAGAGAGGAUGGAAUGUUUGGCACAGUUCAGCUCCUCUGCUGUGACCAAGCACAAACCAAACUGCAGGGCCACCAACCCAGGGCCUUUGGUGACCUGGUGGGUGCAGUGAAAUAAAAUGACAACAAACAAAUACA